rnacentral:lncRNA from 1 species
GUCUGGACCAAAGAAUGAAAACAAGUUUAGUUUUAAAUAAAACGUCAGGAAGAGGAUUGCAAAACAAAGUGCAGUGGAAAUAUUGGCUUCUCAACUCUUUCACAUAUUCAGCAUUUAAGGGACAUAGUCUUUCUCUGGGGGUGCUGGAACCCAAAACACCUGGAUUCCAGGGGCUUGUGCUAAUACUGGUUACCUUAGAGCCUCUCUCUUUCCCUCAGUGAAACAGCACAUUCCUGUUCAUUUCCUGAUGGAGAGCUCCCAGGAGUUGGAACAAGAUGUUUUCGAUGGAUGCCCUUUAUCUUUGGAAUCCCUUCCUUCCUGGACUGGCAGAAUCUAAAUCUCUUGUCCUUCCACAAAGCCUGUUCCAAGGGGAGUUUAACCCACCGAAAGAGGAAUGCACAGAUGGAAAGCCUGUAGGAGUGGAUUCGAAAGGCCCGACUAAGACAAAUCCAGGCAUCAAAUGUGAGUUCCAGUCUCUGGAAACAAAUGACAAGAAUAAAUUAAUUUAAAAACAUUUUUAUAUUAAUGACUUUCAAGUUUUAGUAAAGAGAGCUAUUUUUCCUAACUUUGUCUUGCACAAAAAAUUGAAAUACCAUUUUAUAGUCCAGAUUUGAGUAACCAAACUGACCUAAGAUCAUUAAAUUUUUAGAAAAAAGAUCAUAUAAACACAAACUUUCCAAAAGCAACAUGUUUAGUAACUAACGAAGUCUAUUUUCUCCACUGAAAUUCAUUUUAUUGUGUGUCCCAUUGUCCUAGUAAAACUUGAGUGAGGAAAUCAAAAUGAAUGUUCAAAUAGGGCUAUGACAUUUUGCUGAUCUGGCUGGCUUUCAUUAACUCUUCAUUUGCCCAUUUCCACAAGGUUCUGUUGGCCAGUGUUGGUCACUGCCUGCAAAACCAUCCAUCCCUUUUCCUAAGUUUGAUUCAUAACCAGGACUGGGCUUCAUGCUCCCACCAGUUUGUCUUUAUCCUGCUAUUUCUCAGCACCUGCCAAAACCCUGAGGUGGUUUUUUAAGCCACUAGGGUCACUUGUGGUGAUCCAGAGCAGAAGGCAGGAAGGCCCCAUGAUGUUGGCAGAUCAGAGCAUUCUCUGAGUCUUGGCUCCUGUGCUCCCGCUUCCUGCCUGCUCGCCCUUGAAGGAGUCCCGGUGGGCUCCUGACCUGGAGGAUGCAGUUUCCACAAGUCAGAUGCUAUCAAGACUCCUGCUCUUGGAUUUUCAAUGACCUCUGCGUCCCUAGAUCGCUGACUUCCCCUCCCUCCCCUACCAUCCAGGUGUUUGAAAUGACAAGCUCCGAUUUAUUUGGCUCCCUUUCCCACUUUUAACAGAAACCAGUGGCUAAAGAUGUGCCAGGUGGUGCUCUUGAUAAACAACAAGUUCUAAUACGAGAUUUCCUCCUGGAACUCCAGCUCCUUUUUUCUGGCUGAUGACCGAGGUGGGAGGAAACUUGGCUGUGCCUUCUAGACACUUUUCCUUUGAUAGCUCAUCUCCAUUCUGCAUAGAGUGACAGGAGAAGAGAAUGGUAAGUUGGCUAUGCAGGAGUCCCUGAGGCUAUUUCUGGUGAUGGCCAUGAAUCACUCUAAACCUAUCCAACUUACUACAUUCCUGAGGCCAGGCCACCUCCCCCUGAGUGCCUGGUCUUAGGAUGGUGCCUAUGUGACACUGGGACUCCCCUAGUGAUGCUACUUAAUCCACCACAGCCACGCAGAAUCUUUCCCUUAGAUGUCUUGCGCAUUCCAUCAAAAUAUUUCUUAUCUCUGUUCCUAGACAUAGUAAGCGUUCAACAGAUAUUUUUGAAAGUUGAAUGAACUCUACUCAGUGUUUUAUCGUUUCAUUAAUAUUCCUUCAUUCCAGAAUUAAUGCCUCAAUCCAGUGACCGACUUCCUUGUUUCUAAGUUCCAUGAGAGACAGUGGAAUGCACUGGAGCCUGAAGUUCUGAUGGAGAUCACCUUUGACACUUACUAUGUAGCUUUGGCUAGUUUCUUCACCGAUGCAAGAAGCACUGAUUAGGGGCCAGCCCCGUGGCCGAGUGGUUAAGCGCCUUUCAUGUCUGCAUUUACCUGUGUACCACCACUCCAUUACCUGCAGAACAAAGCAAGCGGAGAUGCCAAGGUCUCACUGUGGGGACACCUGUGCUGCUCUCACCUGCAAAUGGGUUCGCCUGCCCAGCCACUGCAGAAUUCGACUUCUCCAAGCAAAACACAUUUUUUUCAAAGCGUUGGCUCUCUGCACAGUUGGAUGACAGAUCUUCCAAACACGGAGCAUCAGGGUAAUUAGCACGGCCUCCGAAGCCUCCUCUUCUUCAUUCAGGAAGCAAGGAAAUAAGGCCCUGCACCUGGGCUGGGAAGAUGCAAAACUAGUACUGCUCUGGAGCACUUCUCCACCUCCAGGAAUUCCUCCGAGGACCUCGAAUGGCUGGUCUCCACCCCCACCCCCACCGCCUGCCUUUGACAAGAUGGCAUCCAAGUGCAGCUUCAUAGCCUUAUGGAGGCAAGAGGAGCCUUUGGUACACAGAUGAUGAGCAAACUGAGGCACAGCGAGGUUAAGAACCUGCUAUGAAAUGGCAGAGCUGGGAUUCAAGCUCAGGCAGUCAGACAUUGGCGCCCACCUCUUCAUCGUUACGUAUGCACAGGGCGUACUGCAGACCACAUAGGGGUGGCAUCAUAACCCAGCUUUGGGGGGUUGAGGAAGGCUUCCCAAGGAGGUGAUUUCUAAGCAGAAUUGUAAAAGACCAAUAGGAACAGAGUCAGACAAAGAGACUGAGGAAGGGCUUUCUUAGAAGGAUUUGCAAGAUCGCCUACUGAGUUCCAGGCAUUACGCUAAGAGCAAGAAAUACAAAGAAAUGAAACAUGCUCCUUGACUUAUAGAUGGAAAUUUAGGCAAAUUGUUGGAACAAAGUGUGUCAAGGGAUAGUCUAGAUGUGCAUAAGAUGCUAUAGGGAGAUAGAGGAAGCAGGAAUCGAGCCAAGGGAAAUAGUUCCAUGAGGGCUUCCCAGGGGAGGUGGCAUCUGAGUUAAAUCUUGAAGGAUGAGUAAGAGUUUGCUAGACAAACCAGAAUUGGGAGGGACAUUUCUGGCAGAGGGAAUCACACGUGCAGUGAAAGGAUGAAAGAGCUUCCAGGGCUAAGGAAACAUCCAGUAGGCUAGGAAGAUCAUCAUAUUUUUCUUUCUUUUAUAUUUCCAGAAAAUGAGUCUAUAGUGUUGCAUAGCAUUGCCUCACACCCUCUGAGAGUAGAAGGUUCUGUUUGAUAUUGAACCUUUGUUCAUCUUCCUGUGAUAUAGACCCCCCCCCCAUACCUACCCUUGUUCUCUAACCAAGGGACAUACAGACUCACUGUCCUCACCCCUAGGGUACCACUUCAUCCCAGUGGAGAGUGCUCACUCAGCUCUCCUUUCUGCCCAGAUGUGAGGCAUUCAGUUCCCUUCCUGGCCACUUAGGAAGGAAGAAGCACAUAUUGAGAGUCACCCUGUGCAUAGAGCAAGGCUGGACAUUGUAGGGAAGAUAGCUGAAAUGUAAAGUGUUUUUCCUGCCAUCCAGAGGCUGCUCAUCAUCAGUCUAUAAAGUCUGCUUUUCAAACUUCAAAUCCCAACACUGUCACCCGCUCAACACCCUCCAACGCCCUGCCACAGCAUAGGGGUUUAAGCACCCGAGCUUUGACGUCAUAUGGACAAGUUGUGUGACCUUGGGCAAGUUUCUAAUCUUUUUGAGCCUUAGUGUUCUCGUCUAUGAAAUAUUAUUAACCUUGUGUGGUACUUUUGAGGAUUAAAAGAGUUAAAGUAUGUGUAGAAAUUCAGAUAAUUUUUGAGAGAAGUCACAGGAAGCAUAACUUAAAGUGGUAUAAGGAGAAAGGAGAAAUUUGUUGAUUUACAUAAUUGAAAAGUCCAGGGGUCAUGCCAAUUACAGGAGUAGCUUGAUCCAGGGGCUCAAAUGCUGUCACCAGAACUUGGUUUUUCUCCACCUCUAGCUCUACUUUCCUUUUUUGACUUUGUUCAAGGCUCCAUGUGGCGGCAAGAUGGCAGCCAAGAAGCACAGACCCUAUUCUCCUUUGUUCCAGUCCAACAUUCAAAUGAAAGUCCUGAGCCUGACACUCAUUGGUCUGAAGAUGGUCAAAUGCACAUCCUUGAAUUCAUUACUUGGCCAGAGAAUGGGACAUGCUGAUUGGCUUAAGCCUGGGUUCUGGGCCACCCCUGGAACUAAGGAGGGGUCUACUCAACUCAAACAUAAAAUAGUAUGUCCACUACAGUAGCUUUUGUUUUCGUCUCUCCAUAAAGAGUUGGCAGAAACGUAGCUGGGCAAUUUCAGAAACAUGGCUUAUAACCAACCUGCUCCACUAUUUUGCUACAAAAAGUGAGCCUGUGCUAACUGUUCUGUAAUGAAGUACUUGGUCCACGCCCCGCUUCUCGCCCAGGUGGUGAUUUUCCCCAUCAACAACCCCAGAGCAGGUUAGAAUCAAAGUGACACAUGCAGGAGCCAGAUGUUUGGAGAGUAAGAAGGGGAGGUGGAAAUCGAAGGACUGACUUUUGGAAUGUUCUGGAAUGUAACUCAGAGCAAGCUGAGAGGACAUUUUUUAGUCUUGUUUUUAAGAAAACAGCUGAUCACUUUCGCUGGUGGAAGCCCACGGGCUCCAGUUCAUGCCCCUUCAUUUUGUCUCUGUCGUCUGUGGAGACUUUGAAGAUGUUUACACAGCACCUCAACUAUAGAGAGGACGAGAACGUCCUUCAUCUUGGGCAGCUCCUCCUUCCAAGUCUUUUCAAAAAGUCAAGGAAUCUGAGACCUAAGAGGUAUAAACUGACUGGAGUGAAAGGAGGGGAAGGGAGAAGUGAUUCUUCAGUUCAAUGAUCUGCGUCUGGUUCUGGCUUAUUGUACUGACAGCAAACAAGAUGUCGAGUUGAACUCUACCUCAGCCUCAGUGACACCACGAGGCCCCCCCAUAGCAAGGCAUGGGGAGCAACAGCUCAUCCGGAGGUCUUAGCUGCCAGGCUGUGCUCCCCAUGCUGUCAAGGUGGAGGCUCCUGAAGAAGGGCAGAAGCACUGAAGGCUGCUCCCUGAGUGAACUCUCCUUGGACACCGGCCAGAAUCAAAACUUGGCUUCCUCUCACCCUUUAAAAUAUGGUUGGGCUCAAUGAGGUCUUACAAGGUUGUCUGGGCUUCCAUGCUCAGGAAUGAGUCCUGCCAUUGGGCCACCCAGCCUCGUCCCUGGACCUUUCCAGAUCCAUUCAGAACCCAGCUGCCAGUGUGGAGACUCAGCAAUCUAUCUGGUGGCGGCAUGUUUAUUUCGAAAACAGUCAUGAGACUUGAUUUGAUGUAGUGAAAGAAAUGAGCGCUUGCUGAAUAUGGCCCAGUUGUGACUGCAUUAAUUCAUGGAGAUUAGCAGCUGACACUGGCUGGAAGGUAUGAUCAGGACAUUUCAGUAAGUUUGGCUGAAGAGAAUGGCCUUUCCACGGCUGCUGCACCUCCCUUCCCCCACACCAAAGCUCCCAGGAAGACUUCAUAUCUGGAAUGACUUUCUCAACAAGGGCCCACAGUGUUAUUUUAAUGCUCGCUGGAAAUGGACAAACGGAAGCAUGGUUGGGAAAUGCCCCCAAAGUCAGUCAUCAAACUGAUGCCCUUUGAGACCUGCUUUCUCCCAAGCCCACGUUCUAACCAUUGAAUGACUCUUCAAAGAUGGAAGAAAUUCUAACACGCUACCAGGGAAAUACAGCAAGACAUUUUCUUGUGGAUCAUCCAACUUGGUAAGUGAAUUGACACCUUGUGUAAGCAGUUAUGUAUGUUCUCAG